rnacentral:lncRNA from 1 species
AAAGGAUAUCCUUGAUGCAGAACAAAAUUCAAAGUCUACCACAAAUUCCCACUUGUCCGCGUCUCCAGACUUUGCUUCUAAAUCGAAAUCAUAUUGCGAAGAUCACUGACAGUUUCUUUCAAUCUUUGCCUUAGCUUAGAGUUUUGAAUCUAAGUGAAAAUUAUUCCCUGACUGAACUACCUGUGGGGAUUUCAAGUCUGGUUUCAUUACACCAUCUUGAUCUGUCUUCUACUAAAGUACGUGGAUUGCCGCAAGAGCUCAAGGCAUUGGUGAAUCUGAGAUAUUUGAACUUGGAGUAUACAAAUGAAAUGAGGAAAAUUCCACAGCAGCUGAUAUCAAGCUUUUUAAAGUUACAGGUACUCAGGAUGCUGUGUUGCGGUCAAAGUCACCAGCCAAUAGUGGAAGAAGGCAACGUUCUAUCUGAUGAUGCUGAAUCAUUGAUGAAGGAAAUCCACUGUUUGGAACAAUUAAAUAUCAUCACCUUGUCCUUACGUGGUUCGCGUGGUGUUGAAAACUUUCUGAAAUUCCCAAAGCUGCAGAAUAUCACUCAAGCUCUGCACAUCAAAGACUGCAACAGUCUACCGCUCAAUUUGUUGCAUCUAGCAAACAUGGAGCAUCUUGAGGAGUUAGAUAUCGAGGAUAGUAAUUUGGAAGACUGGAAUGUCGACUGCGCGGGAGAGGUACAAAAAAUGCGUAAACUUCACUCGGUUGUCAUACGGAAUUGCUCAAAUGUGAAGGACUUGACGUGGCUUGUUUUUGUUCCAAAUCUCAAGUGGCUGCAAAUAUUUCAUUGUGAUGACAUGGAAGAAAUAAUCAGUGUUGAAAAAUUGAGUGAAGUUUCAGAGAUGAUGGGAGAGCUUAACUUGUUCGCAAAACUCGAACUUCUGAUAAUAAAAAAUGCAAGUAACUUGGAGCGCAUCUACCGCGAUCCCUUGCCCUUUCCACAGCUGGAGACAAUUUCCAUAUCGCUAUGCCCAAAGUUGAAGAAGCUCCCGCUCAAUUCCAGCAGCGCAAAGGGACGUAAAAUUGCCAUUUACGGGGAGAGAAAAUGGUGGGAAGAGCUACAAUGGGAGGAUCAAGCCACUCAAAAUGCUUUCUCGCCCUGUUUCCUACCUUUAAGAAUAAUGAAGGGCAAUAAGGAGCAAGAGUGUGAAUAAAAUUGCUGCGUGUGCUUAAUAAUUUUUUGGUUGCCAAUGAGAUUUUUUAUUAAAAUUUAUAGAAUUACUUUAAUAGGUAAAUUUCUUAAAGUUAUGUUAUGAAAUGAAUAAAAUAAAAUUGUGAAAUAUAUAAAGCAUAUUUUAGACAAUAUAAUAUUUUAACCUCUACUCCACAAAAUUUAAAAUUUAAACUUUUAUUAGUAUAGAUAAAAUAACUUAUUUAAUUUUUUAAAAAUUUUACUCAAAUUAUAAUUAAAUAAUAUUAAGUUUAAAAAAAAGUUAAAAAAUUAAAUAAAUAUAUUUGACUGAACAUACACUAACUUGAACUCUUGAAAAAUAAAUAUUUCGUGCCACAUCGGUAGGGUCCAAUUAUGUUGUAACUAAGGUAUUAUACCACAGUUCCUCUUUUUUUUCCCGUAUUAUUAGAUAAUUGAUGCAAAUUAAGCAAAGUUGUUGGGUGCUUCUCGUUCAAUCUAGCGGCUGAAAUUAAUUAUUGGAUAAUUGAUGCAGCGACUAGCAACCGCUGCAGCCGGUGUAUAUUAAUUUAAUAGCAGUUCAACGAGUGUGGGUUUCGAAAAUUUCUUAGUGCUAAUUAGAGUUUCACUGAUUUCAUCUGAAAAUUGAUCUCGAGACAGCAAUUAAGACAUAAAAUUAGAAUUAGAGGGUCGCAGUUUUUUUGGGAAUUAAAAUUUCCCGAUGAUUCAUACAUGAAUAUGGCCUCUCACUUGUAGGGAAUUGACGGUGAAAUUAUAAUCGUCACAGCAGAAUGCAAUCGAAAGUUACGGUGCUAAAAGUUUAGGCAUAUAUCAAAUUAGAGUGAAUCUCACGUCACUUUGAUUUGGUCUUGUGCCGAUCGAAUCACCUGAUGCAGUAUGUAAUUCCUUAUUAAAACUCGCAAUUUUUUAUUUUGAAAAGAUUUAAAACUUGUAAUUUCAUUACAGAAAUGAGGCGGGGGCUCACAAACAGAAAGCUAGCGAUUUAAAGAGUCGCGAUCAAGCUUUAGAAGCCGAUGGUAACAUAGUUAGAACAAUAGAAUCUGAUAGCCAUUAGGGAUUCAUAAGCUACUUGUAAGUAUUUGUACUCCCUGACUAAAUAAUUUGGGAAUAUAAGGAUGCAAUAAGAGUUGAGUGGUCUUUAUUCCCAUAGCAUUAUUUUUUUCUCGCUUCAUCCGUGCUCUAUUCAAUCUUUAUGUGCCGCUUGUGUUAUGUUCCUGCAUAUCUAAUUACCUUUAGCUGCUUGUGUUAUGUUUACUUGUUUUGAUCUUAAUCUUUAAUCACUUAGCCUGAAUAAGAAAUAAUUUUUUAUAUUUGCUCUGCAAUGAUGUUAUUCGGUGUUAAUAGCUUCGUUUUGUUACUCUUUUCCGCACAGAUUCUUGAUCUCAACAGAACUUUUAUUUUGAAUAUUCUGCAUAAGGACAAUCUCAUUUAAUACCAUCAGUGAUUUUUCAUUUUUUUUCUCUUUAGUUUUAAUAUGUUUGAUAACUGUAUGGCUAAGCAAUCUAUGCAAUUUUAUCUUGUCGUAUGUUUGAGCUCAUUUUUUGUUGCAAUUCUGAAUAUUUGGUAUGAAUUAUGUGAUACCGGACAAUACUGUUAACUUGUUCAUUUCUUAAUUUUAAUAUCUUGUCAAAGUCACUAAUAGCAUUUCAUCAUGCUAUGAGUUAAACAUGGAACAAAUGACGACAUGCAGUUGUGGAAUGUGGUAGAUCUCUGGAAUUCUAUGUCCUUAUGCUUGUAGGGCAACACAAUACAUUAGUUAAAACAUUAAAGACUAUGAUGUCCGCAGAAAAUUAUAUGUCAACAUAUGCACCAGGCAUGAUGAAAUUAGCCAAAGACAGUGCUUGGAAACAAUUAACUAACUUUUGGCAUUAGGCGUAUCAAGUUCAAUUCGGUAUUUCACAAAACUUAAACUAACUUAUUCCUAAUUAUAGUGGACACAAUUAACUAACUUUGGCAACUGUUCUGAAGAGGAUGACUUCUUCAGGAUGACAUCAACUACCAGCGAUGAUACUAUCAGUAAGCUGCUUCUGCUAUCUAUUAAAUAUUACUGCUAAACGUAAUAUUGACAAUUUGUCUGUGUGCAGGCCUGUGAUAACCACUUGGAUCGGAUAAAGGACUGGGACAUCAACAAUUUGCCCAGAAACCAAUAAGAUAUCAUUGUAAUGUUUAAUUAUACAUGUAUUAGUUUCUCUUUGGAUGGUGCUCUUUGUUAUGCAAAAGUAUGGCGACUAUGUUUCAACCAGUGUAUCUAUUAUAUACACUAACUAUGAAUUACUAGAAAUUUUAUUACAUUAAUCAUUUUUAGAUAGCCACUCAUCUCAAACGAAACAAACUGGUCAGAGACACUUGACCCAACAUGCUUGUGAUCGACCUUAGAAUAAAUUUUUCUCACUCAAUAUAGACAACUUCUGUGAGGUUAAUAUUUCUUCAAAUGUCAAGAAAAGCAUUGGCCACAUGAAUGCAUACACAUGUUUUUGUUGGGAAGUUAAGCAGACGGGAACAACAUUGGGCUAUAUACACCAUUACCUUAAAUGAAGCAAAAAUAUCUUGUGCUUAUCAAAGUUUGAAACUAAUUCUGUGCUUAUCAAGAAUCUAUUAAUAACACAUUAUACUCAUACACCAAACUUUAAUCUGAAUGAAUCAAGUAAUUCUAUGUUAAUCAAAGUUUUUAGACUUAUACGAUGAGGGUCUAGUUUAUAAAAAUGCAAAUAUCACUGAAAUCUGAUAAUCCUUUACAAACAAAUAUGAUUUAUUCAAUUAUCGCAAACAAUUAUUUUAUCAAAGUUAAUUACAUUAUUGCUAAACUUGUAUAAGCUUUCCUGUUUCAAACAUAUCUACUUAAUUACAUUAUUCAUCGACAGUGUUACUUUGCUUGUAGAAGUUUCAUUUUUUCAUACCUUAAUCACUAUUUAACGCUUCGUUUUCCAAUAGUUAUAAUUCUUCAAAUUUUGGUUUUAUCCUUCCAUAAUUAUAAAUUGAUACUGAUUCGCACGACUCAAAAAAAAGUGGUCAAUUACUCUAAAAGUAUAAAUCUGGCAAUCAAUAAUUACUUAAAAAUAAUUGCAAAAAAAAAUUAAUAAGGAAUAGUAUAAAUUUAAAAACCGCUAAAGUUACGAGAUCCAUGCUUGAUAUUUAAAUCAUGGUCAUAAUACUCUCUCACACACACACAUAUAUAUGUAACCACUUUUAAUAUUAUGUGACUUAGUUCUUAAUUAACCACUCUAUAAAUAAAUAUGAGAAUUAAGUACAUAUUAUGCCACAACUUUAUUGGAGUGUUCCCACUACCAUAUUAGUAGUCAACAUUAAGUCUAAACAUCCACAUAAUAUUUUUGGUGAACUUGCAACCACAACCUUUAAAUGACCUUUGAUAAUACAAAUACAAUCCAAGGGGUCCAAAAUUGCAAGUAUUGUCAUGCAUAAUAAAACAGUUCAUUCAACAUAAUCAAUGGCUAUAAAGAAGUCAAAUCGGGAUCCUCCAUUGGAUUUUUUUUUUUAAUUAUUCAAGGUGGUUGAAUCACUAUAUUGAUAAGUAUUAAAUUUACUUAAUUUAGUAUAAAGAGGACACACAUCAACUUUUCAGAAUUAAUGUUAGAUAAAACGGCUACCAAUAUUUUUGUAAAAAUUAAAAUUAAAAUUUUUACUUUUAUUUAAUAUAUACUUUCUAGUAUUAAUCAUUGAUGAACAAUUUUUUAUUUCAUCGCCGUCUAGAUUGCUUUUAUCUUAUACAAAUUUGUUUAAAACGUUUAAAUAGUUUCUAACCACUAUAUAGUUUUAUAUGUCCUUAAUCUUGUUAUCGACAACUGACCAACAUAUUGUUACCUACCAUUAUAGUUGUGUAAUUUACCUUUUGUUAACUGACUUCACCAAUAUAUUUUAAAAGAAACGUGGCCAUCUGUUGCUCGUUGGAUCACUUGCUUUUAAAUCCAAUAAUUCCAUGAGAUAAAGACAAAACGCAUGCUAUAAUGCUACGGUUACAACAUAGACGUGGCCGGAGAGGUAAAAAAAAAAAAAAAUGUAUUUGUUUAGUAACUGUACACUUUUUCAUUCAUUUUGUCCACUUCCAAAUCCUCCAGAGAAACAACGCAAAUAAAAAAGAUAUUUAAGAAAUUUGAUGCCUUGUUCGCCGAAUCUCUCCAUUUUUAAAUAGUGUCGUGAUCCUGAACAUGUGAUAUGGCGCCUAUGUUACAUUUGAGUCGGACCAUUAGCAUUCCUCCAAAAUCUUAUUCAAAUUCUUUUUUUAAUUAUAUUUUAUUUAAUAUUAAAAAUAUUUUUUUUUACUCUUUCAGUCUUAAUAUUUAUAUUUUUCUCUUUAAUUUUUUUAUUAUUUAAUUUUUAAAGAAAAUAUCUAAAAAAAGUAAGAAAAACAUUAUAUUUAAAAAAUAAUGAAUAUUUUAUGGAUUUAAUACAAUUUUAUCCUACUUAUAAAUUUUGAGUUUAUUGGGUUCAACAAUUAGUUUGAGAAUCCUUAAAAAAUUAGUUGCAUUAUUUAAUUUGUUUUUACCCUAUGUUGUAUCUUAAUUAAAUUAUUAUAUUUAUUACAAGAAUUUUAUUUUGGCUUAGAGGAUUACUUCUUAAAUUCAAAUUAUUUUAAUGAUAACAAAAAAUUUAUAUUGUGCAAGCAAAAUAAAAUUGAGAAGAGAAAGAAAAUAUAAAUGGUUUAAUUCUAUUUAUAUUUAUCCUUAAAAUAUAAUUGUAAUGUAAAAAGAAUUUUAUGAGAUUAAUGAAGGGGUGCCGAUAGUCGAACUCAUUAUAAUUUUUGUAACAAACAAUUCAAGAAUAUGUUUGGACCGAAAUUCACAAUUUUCACCACAUGAUUUAAAGCACACAUAAUUCAUAAUUUUCUCCACAUAAUUUAAAACCAACCCUCUUUCUGGACUCCACUUUUGAGAAGGACGUUACCCACCAAUACGAGUAACCAAAAAAAAAAAAAAAAGGAACCCUCUUUCCCCCUCUGCUUUUAUUCUCAAUCUCUUUGUCACUUUGUUUUUUUUUUUCCUCCUCUCUCCAUGAUAUUUAAAUGAUUGUAAAUAUUUCUUUCAUUUUAUAAAUUAUUUUCAAAUUUUUUAUUGUACUUAGUUAUUUUUUAAUAAAAUUUUUAAAAUUAAAUAAAUUAUUUUAUUUCUACUAAUAAAAUUUUAAAUUUUUAAAAGUAGAGAUUAAAUUUUUUACGAUAUUAAAAUAUUUAAAAUAUCUUUUAGAUAUUUAACAAUUUUAUUUUUAUUAAAUAAUUUUAAAAUUUUAUUUAUUAAAAUAAUUUUAUAAUUUUUAAUAAAAAAAUUUAUUAAUAAAAAUGUUUUAAAUAAAUUUUAUUUAAAAUUUUAUACCAAAUGAAUCAUAAGGCAAAAACACUGCACUUACCUAUCCAUACUGAUUAAACCCCCUCGCCGACACCUCUGCUCUCACCAUCAAGCAUCAACACUUAAUAAUGACAAUUAUUUGUGUUAGCAUUUUGGUCAAAAGUUGGACCCCCCCCCCCCCCCCAAAAAAAAAAAACAAAAAAUUUUUAUGAUAAUAAUUAACAAUCAUAAAUAAAAAUUAGGGAAAAUGACAUUCAACCCACAACGUUUAAGAAAAUGGAUAAAAAAAUCCUCUUCAACGUUUUAAAAAGGAUUUAUAAUCCCCUUUCAGUUAAUAAAUACCGUUUGUUUUAACAAUAAAUAUAUUUUUAAUUUUUAAUUUUUAAUUAUUAUUAUACUCUUAUAAUAAAUAAAUUAAUAUAUUAAUUUGAGAUAUAUCACAAUUAACAAAUGUCAUCUAGCUAGCGUGGGUUGGAAUCGUUCUUUUAAGUUUUGACCAAAUCAAUAAAGUAUGGUUUAAAAAAAAAAACUCUCGAUUCUUUAAUCAAAUGUGCAAUAAAUAUUAACUAAUUCACUAGCACUCAUCUCAAACCAAAAUAAACUAAUAAAAAAAUCAUUAAUUUUCAGCACCAAAACGAAGUAUCAUGACAAACAAGAAACAACUCAGCCACCUACAUACCCAAAACCCCAAAAAUCCAAAACUUAUACACCAAGAAGCCCAAAAAAAAGCCGUAUAAUUCUGGUUCAAUAUUUGAACAUAGAUUCUUUUCAUGAUAAUGAAAUCAUUUAUAUUUAUUUUUAUAAUAAAAAAUUACAAAAAGAUAAAAAAGAAAAUUAGCAACUGCACUACGAUGAACAUGGAUACUAACCAAAACUUCUUCCAAAGAACAUGUUAACCUUUAUCUCUCACUAUAAGUGUCGCCGUCAAGUCAAUCUAGUGUAAUGGUUUUGAUUCCUCAAAGAAAAAGGGUUUAAUCAAAUUUCGUUUUAUUAGUAAUAAUCACAUAUGAAAUGUUUGAUCAUUAGAAAGGUAUAAUUUAUAGCAAAUAAUUUGGGCAAAAAUAUAAUUGUAUCUCAAUUUUUAAUUUUAAAAAAAUUAUUAAUUGUGACAUGUCUCAAAUCAAUAUAUUAAUUUAUAUUUAUUAUAAAGGUAUAAUAGUAAUUAAAAAUUAAAAAUAAAUUUACUAUUAAAAUAAACGGUGUUUGUUAACGAAAAAGAAAUUAUAAGUUUUUUUUUAAAACGUUGAGAAGUUUUUUAUCUCUUUUUUUAAAAGUUGCCUUUUCCCUAAAAAUUAAUAAUGGGUGUGUUAGCAUUUUGGUCAAAAGCCGAUUUGGCCUUCACAUUAAUUGGAAUUUUGGAUCUAUAAUAUGAUUUUCACCGAAAAGAUAAUUUUGCCGCUAAUUAUUUGGGUAGUCAGAUAAUAAUAAUAAUAAAAUGUUAGUUUCUCUUCUUCAUUUUUUUUCCCCUUUGAAGUCUUUCAACAAAAAUGGGUGGCAUCAUCUCAACCUUCUUCUCAGCGGACACAAUUCGUCCAAUUUUAUUUUACGUCGGUGGACAAGCAAAGAAUAUAUGGGGUCUUAAAGGUAAUCUCGAUGACUUGCAAACUGAAACGGAGAACUUGAUUGCGAAAAAACAAGAUCUGCUGAAUAAGGUUAGGCUUGCUGAACAAACACAGCCUCGUGGCCAACGGACGAGCACGGUGAAACUCUGGUUCGAAAGGGUGGAUCGAAGUGUAACUCUUGUUGAGGGGCUGCAACAAGAAAGAGAUCAAGAGAUUGACAGAUUGUGUCUUGGAGGCUUCUGUUCCAAGGACUUGAUUUCAAGCUACGACUUCGGCAAAAAGGUGGAGAAGUUGAAGGAAGAAGUAAUCAAAUUGAGAGAAAAAGGAGAAGCGAUGAAAGAAGUUUAUGAGGGGGUACCGGAAGGUGCAGCGGUUGCAAUAGCUGUUGACCGAACAAUUGUUGGUCAAGAAUCAAUACUUGACCAAGUUUGGAGAUGCAUCACUGAUCAAAAAAAGAAUAAUGGAAUUAUUGGCUUAUAUGGUAUGGGGGGCAUUGGCAAAACUACUCUGUUAAAACAAGUCAAUAACAAAUUCUGCAGUGAGGAGCAUGAUUUUGAUGUCGUUAUCUGGUCGGUUGUAUCUAGAGAGCCAAACUUGAAUCAGAUUCAAGAGGAUAUUGGCAAAAGGAUAGGCUUCUCAACAGAUUCAUGGGAGAGAAAAAGUUUUGAAGAAAGGGCUUCAGACAUCACCAAUACUUUAAAGCAUAAGAAGUUUCUAUUGUUAUUGGAUGAUAUAUGGGAGUCCGAAAUUGAUUUAACCAAAUUGGGCGUCCCUCUUCAGACACUAGAUUCUGGGUCCAGAAUAGUCUUCACAACUCGUUUUGAGGGUACUUGUGGUAAAAUGGGAGCCCAUAAGAAUCGGUACAAAGUGUUUUGUUUGGGAGAUGAGGAUGCCUGGAAAUUAUUUGAGGGGGUGGUCGGGAGAUACGUUCUUAACAAGCAUCCCGACAUUCCGAAGUUAGCUGAGGAUGUGGCACGUCAGUGUCAUGGUUUGCCGCUAGCACUCAAAACAGUAGGUAAUGCCAUGGCGAGCAAAGAGUACCCUGAAGAAUGGAAAGAAGCAAUUGAGAUCCUAAGCGAAUCAGCUUCUAAAUUCGAAGGUAUGGAGAAAAAGGUGCUUUCGAGCUUAAAGUUCAGCUAUGACAGUUUGCCGAAAGAUGAACUUCGAUCUUGUCUCCUGUACUAUUGUUUAUUUCCCGAAGACUCUGAAAUUGAAAAAACCGAGUUGAUAGAGUAUUGGAAAAGUGAAGGAUUUGUGGAUUCCAGCAGCGGGUGGGGGGUUCUUGGUGCUCUCGUUCGGGCAUGCUUAUUGGAGGAAGCAGGUGAUCGUGUAAAAAUGCACGAUAUGAUCCGUGACAUGGCAUUAUGGAUAGCAAAUGAAGUAGAGGAGGAGGAGGAGAACUUUUUGGUUCGUGCAGGAGUUGGAUUAACUGACGCCCCAAAGAUUGAAGAAUGGGAAGGGAUCAAAAGGAUAUCCUUGAUGAGGAACAAAAUUCGAAGUCUACCACAAAUUCCCACUUGUCCGCGUCUGCAAACAUUGCUUCUGGCGAGUAAUCGUAUUAAGGAGAUCACUGAGAGUUUCUUUCAAUCUUUGCCUUUGCUUAGAGUUUUGAAUCUAAGUGAAAAUCAUUACCUAACUGAACUACCUGUAGGGAUUUCAAGAUUGGUUUCAUUACACCAUCUUGAUCUGUCUUUUACUGAAGUGCGUGGGUUGCCGCAAGAGCUCAAGGCAUUGGUGAAUCUGAGAUAUUUG